rnacentral:ribozyme from 14 species
UAAACGAGAUAAACGAAUUUAAUCAUUAGAGAUAUAAGCUCACAUUCUAGGAAGAUUUGGGUUUUUGCUUCUUCUUCGUCCCCGUCUUUUUUGCUUUGCCUUUCUUUUCUUCAACUUUUGUAUUUUUCCCUUGCACAAAAGUAGCAAGAAGACUGCCCAAUCCCAUCAAAACAAGGGCGGGAAGAAAGAGGCAAAGUUUGUCAAAAUAAAGGGUUC